rnacentral:rRNA from 1 species
AUUGAACGCUGGCGGCAUGCUUUACACAUGCAAGUCGAACGGUAACAGGCCGCAAGGUGCUGACGAGUGGCGAACGGGUGAGUAAUGCAUCGGGACGUGCCCAGCCGUGGGGGAUAACGCAGCGAAAGCUGUGCUAAUACCGCAUACGAUCUAUGGAUGAAAGCGGGGGACCGUAAGGCCUCGCGCGAUUGGAGCGGCCGAUGUCAGAUUAGGUAGUUGGUGGGGUAAAGGCUCACCAAGCCAACGAUCUGUAGCUGGUCUGAGAGGACGACCAGCCACACUGGGACUGAGACACGGCCCAGACUCCUACGGGAGGCAGCAGUGGGGAAUUUUGGACAAUGGGCGCAAGCCUGAUCCAGCAAUGCCGCGUGCAGGAAGAAGGCCUUCGGGUUGUAAACUGCUUUUGUACGGAACGAAACGGUCUGGGUUAAUACCCUGGGCUAAUGACGGUACCGUAAGAAUAAGCACCGGCUAACUACGUGCCAGCCGCCGCCGUAAGAC